UACGUAGGGGGCAAGCGUUGUCCGGAAUCAUUGGGCGUAAAGCGCGUGUAGGCGGCUUGGUAAGUCCGCUCUGAAAGCCCGGGGCUCAACCCCGGGAGGCGGGUGGAUACUGUCAAGCUCGAGUCCGGAAGAGGCGAGUGGAAUUCCUGGUGUAGCGGUGAAAUGCGCAGAUAUCAGGAAGAACACCCGUGGCGAAAGCGGCUCUCUGGGACGGUACUGACGCUGAGACGCGAAAGCGUGGGGAGCGAACAGG
rnacentral:rRNA from 1 species